rnacentral:rRNA from 1 species
GACGAACGCUGGCGGCGUGCCUAAUACAUGCAAGUAGAACGCUGAAGGAGGAGCUUGCUUCUCUGGAUGAGUUGCGAACGGGUGAGUAACGCGUAGGUAACCUGCCUGGUAGCGGGGGAUAACUAUUGGAAACGAUAGCUAAUACCGCAUAAUAGCAGUUGUUGUAUGACAACUGUUUGAAAGGUGCAAUUGCACCACUACCAGAUGGACCUGCGUUGUAUUAGCUAGUUGGUGGGGUAACGGCUCACCAAGGCGACGAUACAUAGCCGACCUGAGAGGGGGAUCGGCCACACUGGGACUGAGACACGGCCCAGACUCCUACGGGAGGCAGCAGUAGGGAAUCUUCGGCAAUGGACGGAAGGCUGACCGAGCAACGCCGCGUGAGUGAAGAAGGUUUUCGGAUCGUAAAGCUCUGUUGUAAGAGAAGAACGAGUGUGAGAGUGGAAAGUUCACACUGUGACGGUAUCUUACCAGAAAGGGACGGCUAACUACGUG